UGCGUGUGCGUGCGUGCCUGGAAGCCAAU
rnacentral:piRNA from 1 species